GGGACACGUGGUAUCCUGUCUGAAUAUGGGGGGACCAUCCUCCAAGGCUAAAUACUCCUGACUGACCGAUAGUGAACCAGUACCGUGAGGGAAAGGCGAAAAGAACCCCGGCGAGGGGAGUGAAAAAGAACCUGAAACCGUGUACGUACAAGCAGUGGGAGCCUCUUAAUGGGGUGACUGCGUACCUUUUGUAUAAUGGGUCAGCGACUUAUAUUCUGUAGCAAGGUUAACCGAAUAGGGGAGCCGAAGGGAAACCGAGUCUUAACUGGGCGUUAAGUUGCAGGGUAUAGACCCGAAACCCGGUGAUCUAGCCAUGGGCAGGUUGAAGGUUGGGUAACACUAACUGGAGGACCGAACCGACUAAUGUUGAAAAAUUAGCGGAUGACUUGUGGCUGGGGGUGAAAGGCCAAUCAAACCGGGAGAUAGCUGGUUCUCCCCGAAAGCUAUUUAGGUAGCGCCUCGUGAAUUCAUCUCCGGGGGUAGAGCACUGUUUCGGCAAGGGGGUCAUCCCGACUUACCAACCCGAUGCAAACUGCGAAUACCGGAGAAUGUUAUCACGGGAGACACACGGCGGGUGCUAACGUCCGUCGUGAAGAGGGAAACAACCCAGACCGCCAGCUAAGGUCCCAAAGUCAUGGUUAAGUGGGAAACGAUGUGGGAAGGCCCAGACAGCCAGGAUGUUGGCUUAGAAGCAGCCAUCAUUUAAAGAAAGCGUAAUAGCUCACUGGUCGAGUCGGCCUGCGCGGAAGAUGUAACGGGGCUAAACCAUGCACCGAAGCUGCGGCAGCGACACUAUGUGUUGUUGGGUAGGGGAGCGUUCUGUAAGCCUGUGAAGGUGUACUGUGAGGUAUGCUGGAGGUAUCAGAAGUGCGAAUGCUGACAUAAGUAACGAUAAAGCGGGUGAAAAGCCCGCUCGCCGGAAGACCAAGGGUUCCUGUCCAACGUUAAUCGGGGCAGGGUGAGUCGACCCCUAAGGCGAGGCCGAAAGGCGUAGUCGAUGGGAAACAGGUUAAUAUUCCUGUACUUGGUGUUACUGCGAAGGGGGGACGGAGAAGGCUAUGUUGGCCGGGCGACGGUUGUCCCGGUUUAAGCGUGUAGGCUGGUUUUCCAGGCAAAUCCGGAAAACCAAGGCUGAGGCGUGAUGACGAGGCACUACGGUGCUGAAGCAACAAAUGCCCUGCUUCCAGGAAAAGCCUCUAAGCAUCAGGUAACAUCAAAUCGUACCCCAAACCGACACAGGUGGUCAGGUAGAGAAUACCAAGGCGCUUGAGAGAACUCGGGUGAAGGAACUAGGCAAAAUGGUGCCGUA
rnacentral:rRNA from 1 species